UGAACGAAAGCCUGACCGAGCAACACCGCGUGCAGGGAUGAAAGCCUUCGGGUUGUAAACUGCUUUUCUGGGGGAAGAACAUGCUGACGGUACCCUAGGAAUAAGCACCGGCUAAAUUCGUGCCAGCAGCCGCGGUAAUACGAAUGGUGCAAGCGUUACCCGGACAUUAUUGGGCGUAAAGCGUCCGCAGGCGGCGCAUCAAGUCGGGUAUUAAAUCCCCCAGCUCAACUGGGGUCCAGUGCCCGAAACUGUUGUGCUAAAUACUUGCAGAGGUAAGUGGAAUUCGGUGU
rnacentral:rRNA from 1 species